AGUGAACGCUGGCGGUAGGCCUAACACAUGCAAGUCGAACGGCAGCACAGUAAGAGCUUGCUCUUACGGGUGGCGAGUGGCGGACGGGUGAGGAAUACAUCGGAAUCUACUUUUUCGUGGGGGAUAACGUAGGGAAACUUACGCUAAUACCGCAUACGACCUACGGGUGAAAGCAGGGGAUCUUCGGACCUUGCGCGAUUGAAUGAGCCGAUGUCGGAUUAGCUAGUUGGCGGGGUAAAGGCCCACCAAGGCGACGAUCCGUAGCUGGUCUGAGAGGAUGAUAAGCCACCUUGGAACUGGGACACGGUCCAGACUCCUACGGGAGGCAGCAGUGGGGAAUAUUGGACAGUGGGCGCAAGCCUGGUCCAGCCAUCCCGCGUGUGUGAAGAAGGCCUUCGGGUUGUAAAGCCCUUUUGUUGGGAAAGAAAAGCAGCAGGUUAAUACCCCGCUGUUCUGACGGUACCCAAAGAAUAAGCACCGGCUAACUUCGUG
rnacentral:rRNA from 1 species